rnacentral:rRNA from 1 species
UGCAGUCGAACGGCAGCACAGCCAGAGCUUGCUCUGUGGGUGGCGAGUGGCGGACGGGUUGAGGAAUACAUGGGAAUCUGCCCAGUCGUGGGGGAUAACGUAUGGAAACGUACGCUAAUACCGCAUGCGCCCUUUGGGGGAAAGCCGGGGACCUUCGGGCCUGGCGCGAUUGGAUGAGCCCAUGUUCGAUUAGCUAGUUGGCGGGGUAAAGGCCCACCAAGGCGACGAUCGAUAGCUGGUCUGAGAGGAUGAUCAGCCACACUGGGACUGAGACACGGCCCAGACUCCUACGGGAGGCAGCAGUAGGGAAUAUUGGACAAUGGGCGCAAGCCUGAUCCAGCCAUGCCGCGUGAGUGAAGAAGGCCCUCGGGUUGUAAAGCUCUUUUGUUGGGGAAGAAAAGCAGUCGGUUAAUACCUGAUUGUUCUGACGGUACCCAAAGAAUAAGCACCGGCUAACUUCGUGCCAGCAGCCGCGGUAAUACGAAGGGUGCAAGCGUUACUCGGAAUUACUGGGCGUAAAGCGUGCGUAGGUGGUUUGUUAAGUCUGAUGUGAAAGCCCUGGGCUCAACCUGGGAAUGGCACUGGAUA